GUUGCUCGCCUGCCUACACCUUUUUGACAUGGUGCUGCAUCGUUCUGGGGUAUUCGGUUGUCAUCAAGACAGAUGAAGGACAAGUGGGGUGCCGAUGUGCUGAAAAUGCUCCCAUCCUUCCAGUCCAAGCAGGCCAGCUCUCCAGAGGUGCAGAACCUGGAAAAGCCUGCUUCCUUCCAGUGGAGAAGGAGGACGAGUGCUCCUGUUGCCUUUGGCUCACAGCACGGAUGUGUGCUGUGAAGUGCUAUAUAUCCACUAACAGCUCAUAGAAACCGUGCAUCGCCAUGAGGAACAGUUUCUGUCCAUGUCCUUUGAUGGAUCUGUAUUUCCUCUUCCCUGACUUGGGAGCACGAAAUCCAGCAAAGGGCAGGUUACCGCUGAUCUUCACACAUAGCGGAUCAUAAUGUAAUUAACCAAAGGGGCUUUUCCUGUUAACAAAGCCUCAUAAUCCCCUUUGUAUAUGCUGUGAUCUAACAAACAAGGUUGUGCCUGGUGACCCUGGGGCAUCUGACUUGCCAUUAUUGUGUAACAAGAAUCCAUCCAUCCAUCCAUCCAUCCAUUAAUCCAUGUUCUAAUGUACUUUUCUUGGAGAACGGAGGCAUAAUCAUAAGAAAACACCAUUUUUUCCCCCAUCAUAUCUGCCAACGCGAAACUACAGAGGUCUGAAUGGGUUAAUAUAAUUCAAACUCAUUUUAUAUAAUCUUUGUUUCUCCUGGCUGAUGUAUUAGACAGUAGUUUUAUUAAGCAAACUUUCAAGCAGAAGCUUUUUCCUCCUUUUUUCCUGGAGAUUAAGACUGUAAUAAUAAACAGGGUGAGAAGACUG